GCGUCCUCUCCAGCAGGGAGCUGCUGCUGCUGCACACGUGGAGCCUUGUCAGCAAAGAGCUGCAGCUGCAGGAGGACCUGCGGGCCCUGGCUCAGAAGGACUGAAACAAAGAAUUGCUCAAAAAUAUUAAAGAACAAACCUCAAGCCUCAUCUCGUGUGUAUCGUCACACUCAGAAAAAGAACGGGGUGGAAGAAGAUGACCCUGCUGCAGACGUGGAAGUGCCUGAGCUGGAGAAAUGCAGAGAACAUCUGAAUUCCAUCCUUGCCCACUGGGACCCUGUUUUCCCAGCACCACCCUCCACACACGGAGGGGAGACCCUCAGAGCCGGUGAAGGUGGGGGUGAGGCAGUGGCUGUCACCUCUGCAUCUGUUCACAUUGUCACUGCGUGGCGUGAGGUCCCUGGCUGGGCAGAGCCCCUCGGGGAGCAGGACGUGUCCCCAGCACCGAGGUGGCUGCGGAACCGCGUCCUGCCACACCCGGCGGCCGCGCGGGAGAUGUUCAGGGAUGAGACACUGAGGAACAGCCUCUUCAAGCUUUGCACCCGCCCUGCCAGGCCAGCAGCACCUCGGCUGGGCUCUCCAGGCAGCUCGGUGGGCUCAGUUCCAUCGUGCUGCAGCUAAUGGAGGAGCAGGGCCUGUUCAGCACCUUCCACGAGCUUCUGAAAUCUCUGUGCCUAUCAGCAGCGGUGGAAGAGGAUGCGGACAAGACAGCUGUUUCUGUAUUCCUGACUUCCAUUUACAUUGGAGACAUGUGGCUUGGAGCACAGGAGCCAGAUAUGUUACUUACUCAUGUCAGAUUGAUCUGCACUAGUGCAGAUUAUGAGUUACAGGGUGACUCAGACACUCGGAAACAAGGGGAAGAAACUGUUAUGUCUCUUUGCAAAACAAUUUGGCUCCAUCAGGGCAUUAAUUCAGGGAACUAACACUUCACCUUUAAUGUUCUUCUCUGCUCUGUCCUCAUCACCGUGAGAGCCUCCUGAGCUGUUUUCAUAUAGACCUACCUAGUUUUGUCAAAAAAAAUUAGUAUUUUAUUACUGGGUGCAAACUCGGGGGAAGAUUUUAUUCAACAUCUCACACUGGGGCAUUAAAGCUCCAAUGUCCCUUUUCUUGAACAGUUUGAGAGACAAUAUUACUUUACUGUAAGUUUUAUUACAGGCAUUUUUAUCUUUUUGAAGAACAAAAAAGAUUGUUUGUGCAUGUGUCUCAGCAGCGGGCCCAGCACAGCCCGGCAGGUUUGGAAUUUUCUUUGCUAUGCUGCAGGUGUAUUCAAGACAGCAUUCCUCUUUGUUUGACAGAAGGAAGACAAAAAAAUAAUUCUUAGCAAAAAAGGAUGUUUUCUUUCCUGUCUAUCAAGCAGCCAAAUACCACCAGCUAGCUAUCCAUAUUUUAAAAUCAGCUGGAGAACUUGCAUCCCAGGGACCUGGGGACUGUCUGAAGAGAGCUCUGGCCAGCUCUGUUAGCUGUUAAGCACCCCUGGAACAGCAGAGAAGAGGCUGGAAGAGUUCCAGUGCCCCAGUACCCAGAGACCCAUCUGGUCAGGGCAGGUCACUCUUAGGCAGUGCUGCGACUGACCUGGGCCCAGGCAAAAUCACAGAACUGGAGCUGAGCUAAGACACAACUGAAAAAGUCUUUCAAAGGACAGGGAAGCUAAUUCCAGACUCUGUGGGUUUGGACAAAGACAAGUGCAGU